UAAUACGUAGGGUCCGAGCGUUGUCCGGAAUUACUGGGCGUAAAGAGCUCGUAGGUGGUUUGUCGCGUUGUUCGUGAAAACUCACAGCUUAACUGUGGGCGUGCGGGCGAUACGGGCAGACUAGAGUACUGCAGGGGAGACUGGAAUUCCUGGUGUAGCGGUGGAAUGCGCAGAUAUCAGGAGGAACACCGGUGGCGAAGGCGGGUCUCUGGGCAGUAACUGACGCUGAGGAGCGAAAGCGUGGGGAGCGAACAGGAUUAGAUACCCUGGUAGUCCACGCCGUAAACGGUGGGUACUAGGUGUGGGUUUCCUUCCUUGGGAUCCGUGCCGUAGCUAACGCAUUAAGUACCCCGCCUGGGGAGUACGGCCGCAAGGCUAAAACUCAAAUGAAUUGACGG
rnacentral:rRNA from 1 species